AUGCAUGUGUAAGUACGAACAAAUUCAGACUGUGAAACUGCGAAUGGCUCAUUAAAUCAGUUAGAG
rnacentral:rRNA from 1 species